CAGUCGCCGCGGUAAUACGAAGGGUGCAAGCGUUAAUCGGAAUUACUGGGCGUAAAGCGUGCGUAGGCGGUUUGUUAAGUCUGUUGUGAAAUCCCCGGGCUCAACCUGGGAAUGGCAAUGGAUACUGGCAGGCUAGAGUGUGAUAGAGGAUGGUGGAAUUCCCGGUGUAGCGGUGAAAUGCGUAGAGAUCGGGAGGAACAUCAGUGGCGAAGGCGGCCAUCUGGAUCAACACUGACGCUGAGGCACGAAAGCGUGGGGAGCAAACAGGAUUAGAUACCCCAGUAGUCCCUGUCUCUUAUAC
rnacentral:rRNA from 1 species